rnacentral:tRNA from 1 species
UAUCGACCUGGGCGAGGUGCGCUACCUCGGCUCCCAGCCGUGGCCGUUCCCCGCGUCCCUGAUGAUGGCGUUCAAGGCGCAGGCGUUGA